rnacentral:rRNA from 1 species
UACAGAGGGGGCAAGCGUUGUUCGGAAUUACUGGGCGUAAAGGGCGCGUAGGCGGCCUUCUAAGUCGAACGUGAAAUCCCUAGGCUCAACCUAGGAACUGCGUCCGAUACUGGGAGGCUUGAAUCCGGGAGAGGGAUGCGGAAUUCCAGGUGUAGCGGUGAAAUGCGUAGAUAUCUGGAGGAACACCGGUGGCGAAGGCGGCAUCCUGGACCAACACUGACGCUGAGGAGCGAAAGCCAGGGGAGCAAACGGG